GACGAACGCUGGCGGCGUGCCUAAUACAUGCAAGUCGAACGCUGAAGGAGGAGCUUGCUUCUCUGGAUGAGUUGCGAACGGGUGAGUAACGCGUAGGUAACCUGCCUGGUAGCGGGGGAUAACUAUUGGAAACGAUAGCUAAUACCGCAUAAGAGUAGAUGUUGCAUGACAUUUGCUUAAAAGGUGCAAUUGCAUCACUACCAGAUGGACCUGCGUUGUAUUAGCUAGUUGGUGGGGUAACGGCUCACCAAGGCGACGAUACAUAGCCGACCUGAGAGGGGGCUCGGCCACACUGGGACUGAGACACGGCCCAGACUCCUACGGGAGGCAGCAGUAGGGAAUCUUCGGCAAUGGACGGAAGUCUGACCGAGCAACGCCGCGUGAGUGAAGAAGGUUUUCGGAUCGUAAAGCUCUGUUGUAAGAGAAGAACGAGUGUGAGAGUGGAAAGUUCACACUGUGACGGUAUCUUACCAGAAAGGGACGGCUAACUACGUG
rnacentral:rRNA from 1 species